AGCGAACGCUGGCGGCGUGCUUAACACAUGCAAGUCGAGCGAGAAAGGGGGGCCUCGGCCCCUGAGUACAGCGGCGAACGGGUGAGUAAUACAUGAGCAAUCUAUCCUUGAGGCGGGAAUAACCCAGCGAAAGUUGGGCUAAUACCGGAUGAGACCACAGGAGGAAACUCCAAGGGUCAAAGGCAGCUUUCUUUUGGGAGCGGCCCUUCGAAGAGGAGCUCAUGUCCUAUCAGCUAGUUGGUAGGGUAACGGCCUACCAAGGCGAAGACGGGUAGCUGGUCUUAGAGGAUGAUCAGCCACACGGGGACUGAGACACGGCCCCGACUCCUACGGGAGGCAGCAGUGGGGAAUAUUGGGCAAUGGGCGAAAGCCUGACCCAGCGACGCCGCGUGGGUGAUGAAGGCCU
rnacentral:rRNA from 1 species